CCAGAAUGGUAGAUCCACUGACAGCUUGCACCAUGUGACUGGAAAAGCCACAGACUAUCAACGCCAGCCUGUGAAAGCAGCUGGGAGAGAGGCUGUACCCUGCAAAACCACAGGGGCGGAGCUACCCAAGACCAUGGGAACCCAUCUCUUGCAUCAGUGUGACCUGGAAAUGAGACACAGACUCAAAGGAGAUCAUUUUGGAGAAUUAAGAUUUGAGUGACCAGCUGGAUUUCAGGUGCUGUGUGAAGAAUGGAAACAUGCAACAAUAAAGACACCAGUCCUGGUGGACCUGAUGGCCUAUGUCUGGUGUGGCGGGGGACAGAUAAGUAAACAGAUCGUCCUAUACGGGGUAGCCAACGCUAUCAUCUGAUAGAAGUAAGCAUGAGAAUUUGGAUUAAUGAAUGACGUAACUGCUUCAGGGCAACACACCCUCACUGCAGCUGCUUAGCCCAGGAAGCAGCAAGGUCAAUACAAGGAGAGCCACAGGCCUGGGGAGAUGCAUGCCUUCCUUCCUGGCCACGUGGAUCUCACUACUUAGCCCAGAUGGCCUGCGAGAAGGACAAAGCCAAGCACUUCACAACACUGUCAGUUGCUGUCCUGAAGAAGGUGGCCAGGAGCUCUAGAAGGAUUCAAAGCCCCAGGGAUUUUUGGUUUUUAUGUAUACACUUCUCUUUACAUACUUGUUCCUCAACAUCCAAUCAGCCUUGCAGGUUUGUCCCCGCUCCUAGCAUUCAGAAACACUCAAGAGCAGGGUGGGUCAGAGCUCUCCACCACAUACGCAGCAGAGUGAAAGAAGCUGCCCUGCAGGACAGCUCCAGGCUCAUGGCCACCCCUCCUCACAUGCAUACCUCCUCCUCUUCCACCAAACAACAACAAACUCCUUCAUGUAGCAUUCACGCCCUCCUCUUGUGGCCUCUACCUGCCAUCCCACACCAAUCCCUUUUUAUGUCCCCACAGGUACCCAGGAGUCUCCCCUAACUAAAUUCCCCACUGCUUCUCCAAAUCACCCCAAUCCUACUUCCCACUGAAACUAACAAGAAGGGAAGGAAGGUGUUAACAAAUGAAGUCUUCGAAGGAAGUCACCCCAAGAAUCUGGGCCUACUAGUCAUUCCCUAAGGCUCAGCUCUUGGCAUUUGCUUCGUUCCCUGGGCCAUUAUUUUCAUACUGUGAAGAAAUUUCACCCUAGUCCCAUUUUGGAGAGCAAGUGUUGGUACAGUGCUGGGUAAAGACCCUGACACCAGGUCCUGGUCCCUGGCCCAGAGCAGGGGAUAUGAAGGGAAGCCCCACUCACUGUGUGCUCCCUCACUGACUCCUCAAAGGAAUUCCAGGAAGGGUGCUUUAGUGACCCUUUGGCUCACAGAGUUAGAGUGACCUGCCCAAGGCCACCCAGAGAAUGAAUGGUGGGACUGAGAUCACACCUGGGCCUGCCUGGCUGCCAAGCCUUUUGCUAUUUUCAUUAUUCCACAUUUCUUUCCAAGGAUACAGAAAGCAGGGAUAGGAAGUGCUGUGGAAACAAGCAAAAAGCCUUAUCCAUAGUCAGCAUCCAAAAAGUACUAUACCUUCUCUGACCCCUGCUUUAUUUAUUUGUUUAUUUUCAGGGAUGAUGUAAUAGCCAGAAAAAUAAGUGAACAGAAGAUUCCGGGUUCUACUUUAUGCCAAUUUUUCUUAAAUAUCUCAGUCACUAGAAAAAGAUCUAUUUGAAAAUCUUGCUCUGAGCAGUUUCUGUCUUGGGCCCAGUUGUUUGAGGAGCCUGUUGAAUUUUUAAAUUUAUUAGUGUUCCCAUGCUUCAUUCAUUGGCAUAUAUGUAUAUUCUCUAUACUUUAUAAUUACAAGUAAGCUCUUGAUAAUAAAAAGUAACUGUCAUUCUGUGAAGCUCUUUAAUGCAGCCAAAGAUAAUUUCAGGGGGCAAUUGGCAGUCUAAGUCCUUGCUUUCUCUCAUUUUAAAGGAGAACCAAAUCAACUUAGAGUGAAUUUGUUCAAAUGUGGGUAAGAUUUAACAGGCACUUCAGCUGCCCAGGGUACUUUUCCAUGUCUCUCCAACCAACCCCACCCAAAUAGCUUAGGAUUGGCAUUUUCUGAUGAGCACAGGGAUAGAGAAUGAGAACGGAGUCAGGUCCUCAGGUAUUCAAGGUUAGAAUUCCUUCUUAACCUUGCCCACUAUGCCCUAUGUGGGGACAUGCUACAGCAGAGAUCACUUGAGAAUUAUCCUGUGGCUCACACUGCCAUAAUUAGUUAUCUGUUCGGCACCUCUCAACUAAUCAGAACAAUGGCACAUCCAAAAGUAAAAGGAGAAGAAAGGAGACAAGAAUACAGCGACUGAAUAAUAAAA
rnacentral:lncRNA from 10 species